rnacentral:rRNA from 1 species
UGAGUACGAGAGGCUACGGCCUCGAAGCAGUCUAUGUCAUACUUCCAAGAAAAGCUUGCAAUGUCAGAAACAAAUAAUGCCUGUACCAUAACCGACACAGGUGGGUAGGUAGAGUAUACUAAGGGGCGCGAGAUAACUCUCUCUAAGGAACUCGGCAAAAUGACUCCGUAACUUCGGGAGAAGGAGUGCCUUAUUUAUAAGGUUGCAAUAACAAGAUCCAAGCAACUGUUUAUCAAAAACACAGGUCUCCGCUAAGUCGUAAGACGAUGUAUGGGGGCUGACGCCUGCCCAGUGCCAGAAGGUUAAAGAAGUUGGUUAGCAUUCGCAAAGCUGAUAACUGAAGCCCUGGUGAACGGCGGCCGUAACAAUAACGGUCCUAAGGUAGCGAAAUUCCUUGUCGGGUAAGUUCCGACCCGCACGAAAGGCGUAAUGAUCUGGAUACUGUCUCGGAGAGGGGCUCGGUGAAAUAGACUUGUCUGUGAAGAUGCGGACUACCUGCACCAGGACAGAAAGACCCUAUGAGGCUUUACUGUAACUUGAAAUUGAAAUUGGACUUUAUUUGCGCAGUAUAGGUGGGAGGCGUUGAUAAUAUUCUUGUGGGAAUAUUGGAGCCAUCAGUGAGAUACCACUCUUGUAAUGUUAGAUUUCUAACUUUGUAUCAUUAUCUGGUCAAAGAACAGUUUCAGGCGGGCAGUUUGACUGGGGCGGUCGCCUCCCAAACGGUAACGGAGGCGUACAAAGGUUUCCUCUGAACGGGUAGAAAUCGUAUCUAGAGUAUAAAGGCAUAAGGAAGCUUGACUGUGAGACCUACAAGUCGAGCAGGGACGAAAGUCGGUCUUAGUGAUCUGACGGUGCUGAGUGGAAAGGCCGUCACUCAACGGAUAAAAGUUACUCUAAGGAUAACAGGCUGAUCUCCCCCAAGAGUUCACAUCGACGGGGAGGUUUGGCACCUCGAUGUCGGCUCAUCGCUUCCUGGGGCGGUAGUACGUCCCAAGGGUUGGGCUGUUCGCCCAUGAAAGCGGUACGCGAGCUGGGUUCAGAACGUCGUGAGACAGUUCGGUCCAUAUCCGGUGUAGGCGUUAGAAUAUUGAGAGGAGCCUUCUUUAGUACGAGGGGACCGAGAAGGACAUACCUCUGGUGUACCAGUUAUCGUGCCAACGGUAAACGCUGGGUAGCUAUGUAUGGAGAGGAUAACCGCUGAAAGCAUCUAAGUGGGAAGCCCACCUCAAGAUAAG